rnacentral:lncRNA from 1 species
AAAUAGGGGAUUCCAAACUCAUUCUGACUCUGUCUAAUUAAACUUCAAAUAUCUCAAAAUAUAUAACUCUUUUGCUUUUUCUAUUUCUUUUAUGUGAAAAUAGACUCAUUAAUCUUCAAUUUCAUAUAUUAUUCAGCCUCUAAUUAAAUUUCCACCAUUUUUGGUGAUUUUUCAAAGUCACACAACUGUUGCUGUCUAAACUGUUUUGUUGCUAAAUGUACUCUUUCAUAAUUUCACUUUUUCACUUUCAAUCACAAUUCAAUUCAAAAUUCACUUUUCCAUUUCUAAGUCGAUAUUCAAUUCAGUUCCACACCUAUAUUCAUUAUUCAAUUACACUUAGUCAAUUUCCCGUUGAACACUCGGAAUAUACAUAGAUACGUAGAGAAUUAGCACAUAAGUGCCACACUGAUAUGUAGCCGAAGCUACCACUGAUACGUAGCCGAAGCUACCACUGAUACGUAGCCGAAGCUACCACUGAUAUGUAGCCGAAGCUACCACUGAUACGUAGCCGAAGCUACCACUGAUCAAUAACACUGGAAAUGUCCACGGGCCUGCUCACACAAGCUGUCAGGUGUCUGCAACACAUGCUAGAUCACCCAGCACCCGGGACUCACUGUAACACUGUAACACUGAUCUCUAGUGACAUGUCACUUGUAUCCACUUCUAUUCCUAAGUUCAACCGGGAAUUUACACUUAACACUUUAUUUUAAACACUUUAUCACUUGAAUAAUUCAUGAACAAUUUUCCUUCCACAUUCAAUAUUAAUUCACAUAUCAAAUAUAAUUCACAAUUUAUAAAAAUAUAACUAUUAUUUACACGUAACUUACUUUGAUGCAAUAAUAUAAAAAUUUAGCAAUUUAGUCUUUAAUCUUUCCUUUUCUCCGGUCAAGGUCGAUUCCACUUCUUUCUUGAUCUAUAAUAACACAUUUGACUUAUUUAGUACUCACAUUUAUCAAAACAGUCCUUGACUCAAACUUUGGUAAAAUUUUAAUUUUGCCCCUAAACUUUUACAUAUUUACACUUUUGCCCCAAAGCUCGUAAAUUAAACUUCAUCCCUUAUUCUUAUGUAUUAUGACAUGUUGAACAUUUUUCCCUUCUAUAGAAACAUCAAAUUCCAACUCUAACACUUACUUAUGAACAUUUAGUAUUUUUAUCGAUUAUGUCGUUUUACUCGUUUUCACUCAAAAUCGCUUAGCAAAAGUUGCUUAACAUAAUUCUAAGCUUCAUAUUCUAUCAUGAAACAUCAAAAUUCACACUUUUCAUCUAUGGGUAAUUUUUCAGACAUGAAUUCUAGCUCGAAUUAAUGGUAGAGAUAGCUUAAGCAAGUUAUCGGGAUGCGAAAAAUACAAAGAACAAGAAAAACGGGGCUAGAACGGACUUACCAUGAAGCUUGGAAGAUGAACAAACCCUAGCCAUGGUGUUCCCUUGCUACAUACGGCC